AUGUUUCAUGAUAGGAAUUUCAUGUCUUUUGUAUUAAAGAAUUAAAUGGAUGAAAUAUGAAGUUUUAUUAAAAGAAAAAGGGGUGAAAAGAACAAAGUUUUGUCCAUCUUUGUUCAUCAUAGCUGAAAGUUAGAGAAGAGAAAAGAGAAGAGAAAGCUCUUGAGUAUUUGGUCAUUAGGAAGAGGAAAAUUGAAGGCAGUUCGUGUGUGGAUCUCGUCAGCAUAUCGUCGCAAACAGGUAAUCCCCAACCAUAGUGGGCUUGGAGCUGUGAGGGAAUUCGGAGUGGCCACCCGUUCUGAAAGUUUGAUUUUCUUCUGGUGAACUGGACAUCCUUUAAUUUACGUUUGAAGUUUUGGGUUUUUAAAUGUAAUAAGGCCGCUUAAUUAUUUUUGAUGGUUUUAAUAUGUAUUAGGUAAUACUUAUUUUAACUGUUGAAAUUGGAUAGCUUUAGGGCGCGUUUUCAAAAACAA